GAGAGAACAAUUACAGAAGUACUUGUUGCAUGAUUAGUUUUACAGGCUCUGCUACAGGAAAGGGAGCAAUUAUACAGCUCUCUUCAUUCCUGAGGCUUCCUGAGGCUUCCUGAGUUCCUCUCAUGAUUGUGAAGGUG
rnacentral:lncRNA from 1 species